UACGUAGGGUCCAAGCGAUAUCCGGAAUCACUGGGCGUAAAGCGUGCGUAGGUGGUAAUUUGCGUGCAGUGCGAAAUUGUGUGGCUCAACCAUACAACGGUACUGCAUACGGGAUUACUAGAGGACAUGAGAGGCAAGUGGAAUUACUGGUGUAGCAGUGAAAUGCGUAGAUAUCAGUAGGAACACCAAUGGCGAAGGCAGCUUGCUGGCAUGUAUCUGACGCUAAGGCACGAAAGCGUGGGGAGCGAACAGG
rnacentral:rRNA from 1 species